GACGAACGCUGGCGGCGUGCUUAACACAUGCAAGUCGAACGGAAAGGCCCUGCUUUUGUGGGGUGCUCGAGUGGCGAACGGGUGAGUAACACGUGAGUAACCUUCCCUUGACUUUGGGAUAACUUCAGGAAACUGGGGCUAAUACCGGAUAGGAGCUCCUGCUGCAUGGUGGGGGUUGGAAAGUUUCGGCGGUUGGGGAUGGACUGGCGGCUUAUCAGCUUGUUGGUGGGGUAGUGGCUUACCAAGGCUUUGACGGGUAGCCGGCCUGAGAGGGUGACCGGCCACAUUGGGACUGAGAUACGGACCAGACUCCUACGGGAGGCAGCAGUGGGGAAUAUUGCACAAUGGGCGGAAGCCUGAUGCAGCAACGCCGCGUGCGGGAUGACGGCCUUCGGGUUGUAAACCGCUUUCGCCUGUGACGAAGCGUGAGUGACGGUAAUGGGUAAAGAAGCACCGGCUAACUACGUG
rnacentral:rRNA from 1 species